CUUAGGUUGAAGACUGAGGGGAUGAGCUGUGGGUAGGGGUGAAAGGCCAAUCAAACUCCGUGAUAGCUGGUUCUCCCCGAAAUGCAUUUAGGUGCAGCGUUGCGUGUUUCUUGCCGGAGGUAGAGCUACUGGAUGGCCGAUGGGCCCUACAAGGUUACUGACGCCAGCCAAACUCCGAAUGCCGGUAAGUGAGAGCGCAGCAGUGAG
rnacentral:rRNA from 1 species